GACUACCGCUACGUGUUCGUCAUUAGCGCGCGAACUACGUGUAUUUUGAUGACUACGUGUCUAUCGUGGCUACGCACUCAUGAAAAAGUCCGUCGUAUAACUGAGUACGGGAUUUUGAAAAAAUUUGGUUGUCUACACAACGAUUUUUCCUCCAACAUUAUCAUUGACUUAUAUUCAAGACUCAAAACUUAAUAUUUUUGGAUAACAACUUAUAAUGAUGAUCAAUUAGACUGUAAGUAGAAAAUUAAGACACGGGAAACAAUAAUUUAUAACCACAAGUCUAAGUUAUGAAGAAUGUUAUUUUCUCACUUCUUUUUAGUAAGAUUACUGGCUACGUUUACGGGGAAAAAAUUGAUAAAGCAAAUGUAAAAAUGAAAGUAGACCAAAUAAUUGGGCGAUUGCUUCUCGUAUAUCCUUGAACAUAUACUAAUUAGUGAAAACAUAAAAACGCAUAUUUUUUAUCGUGUUCA